rnacentral:rRNA from 1 species
UACGUAGGGCGCAAGCGUUAUCCGGAAUUAUUGGGCGUAAAGAGCUUGUAGGCGGUUUGUCGCGUCUGCUGUGAAAAUCCGGGGCUCAACCCCGGACUUGCAGUGGGUACGGGCAGACUAGAGUGUGGUAGGGGAGACUGGAAUUCCUGGUGUAGCGGUGGAAUGCGCAGAUAUCAGGAGGAACACCGGUGGCGAAGGCGGGUCUCUGGGCCGUAACUGACGCUGAGGAGCGAAAGCAUGGGGAGCGAACAGG